AGAACGAUUGACGGAGCAACGCGACGUCAAUGCGUCCAACAAAGUCGAGGCGGAAACGUCAGACAGUCAGUUUAAGGAUACGUUCGUUGGGUAGGGGAGCGUUCUGUAAGCCUGUGAAGGUGUACUGUGAGGUAUGCUGGAGGUAUCAGAAGUGCGAAUGCUGACAUAAGUAACGAUAAUGCGGGUGAAAAACCCGCACGCCGGAAGACCAAGGGUUCCUGUCCAACGUUAAUCGGGGCAGGGUGAGUCGACCCC
rnacentral:rRNA from 1 species